rnacentral:lncRNA from 1 species
AACUACUUCUCGUGUUGGGUCAGUCCUAGCACAUGUCUCCACAUGUGCCCACAUUAUUAGUUUAACAUCUCCAUGUCUAUGACUUGUGAAACAUAAUCAUCAACUAAUACAUGUGUUAGUCUAAUAUUCAUUUGUGUUCUCACAUGAACUCCGACUAGGGACAACUUUAGAAAAACCAUACAAGUAAAGAGUUUCACAUACAAUUCACAUAAUUGCAAAUCAAUUCAAGUAGCCUUUAAUGGAAUAUCAUCAUCUCUAUUAUUGCCUCUAGGGCAUACCUCCAACAGUCUCCCACUUGCACUAGAGUCAAUCUAGAAGGUAUCUAAUACCCAUAGCUCUUACAUGCGCAUCAUGCUUAGCCUGUAGGAGUGAUUUUGUCAAUGGAUCAGAAAUAUUCAGUAUCCGUGUGUAUUUUGC